rnacentral:rRNA from 1 species
GACGAACGCUGGCGGCGUGCUUAACACAUGCAAGUCGAACGGAAAGGCCCUGCUUUUGUGGGGUUCUCUGAUGGCUAACGGGUGGGUAACACGUGAGUAACCUGCCCUUUACUUGGGGAUAACUACAGGAAACUGGGGUUAAUACCGGAUAGGAGCUCCGGCUGCAUGGUUGGGGUUGGAUAGUUUCGGCGGUUGGGGAUGGACUCGCGGCUUAUCAUCUUGUUGGUGGGGUAGUGGCUUACCAAGGCUUUGACGGGUAGCCGGCCUGAGAGGGUGACCGGCCACAUUGGGACUGAGAUACGGACCAGACUCCUACGGGAGGCAGCAGUGGGGAAUAUUGUACAAUGGGGGGAAGCCUGAUGCAGAAACGCCGCGUGCGGGAUGACGGCCUUCGGGUUGUAAACCGCUUUCGCCUGUGACGAAGCGUGAGUGACGGUAAUGGGUAAAGAAGCACCGGCUAACUACGUG